UACGGGGGGGGCAAGCGUUGUUCGGAUUUACUGGGCGUAAAGAGCGCGCAGGCGGUCGUGCAAGUCGCGUGUGAAAGCCCCCGGCUCAACUGGGGAGGGUCACGCGAUACUGCUCGACUCGAAGGCAGGAGAGGGAAGUGGAAUUCCCGGUGUAGUGGUGAAAUGCGUAGAUAUCGGGAGGAACACCAGUGGCGAAGGCGACUUCCUGGCCUGUUCUUGACGCUGAGGCGCGAAAGCUAGGGGAGCAAACGGG
rnacentral:rRNA from 1 species